GAUUUCCUUUAUCUAGACUACUUUAAUGUCAAGCGUGAAACAGCUCGUGCUGCUAGAGACAAAAUAGAUGAGCAGAGGAGUUACGCUGUUGGUAAGAAACUGACUGAAGAAGAGGAGACGAUGAGCACCGAGGGCAGAAAUAUCAGAUCUUCUCUCUUCCCUUCGCAGCCCUUGUUCGGGAAAGAUGCAUUUAUAGCCAAAGAGCUGCAGAGAAGCACCACAAGGAAGAUAAGGACAGGAGAGUCUGUCUUGCUGGAGGACCCUGGAAAACCCUGGCUCAUCCAGUCUGGCAAAACAAAGGUGGAGGCAAUAGGAUUGCUGUCCAUAACUAUACUCAAAGUUUUCCAAACAUGUGUGGACAAGACGCCUGGUACAGACGAAAACAUAGACUCUACUUUACAUAAUUUACUUUACAUUUUCUGUGGCGUGAAAGAUGAGACAACAGUCAAGAGCAAGAAGAAAAGAGGAAGGAUGAAUGUGAGAAUAAGAGUUUUAAGAUCAUGACACAAGAUUCACAUGCAUCCAGAUCAUCCUGUCAAAAAUAAUUCACUCGUUCUUUGUCCAUCCGCCCGUACCUCUCGUUGCACAUUUACUUUUUGAAGAUUUAAGUCUGAGCUCAUCAGAAGACAGCUUUUCAUAACAUUUCUCAGUCCCAGAGAAUCACUUCCCCACGCCAGAGGCAGGGACUACUGAAAAUGCCCCCCCGGCGUGUGAAGCCUUUACCGUUGCAAUGGGCAGCUGCACCCCAUCCACACGGGGGUUUUGCCAGGACUCUUUAGGGGCAGCCCACAAGGAGCAAGGAGCACGUUCAGCCGCGCAGGGCAGCGGGCUGGAUGUCACUUCAUUAACGGGUCGGUGUUGAGGGCGCUCAGCUCUCACAGGGCCCUUUGGAAAAUCCCCAAUCGCGCACGCACACGUACCAAACCAGCGCUUUGCACCUGCCCAUUUAAUGCCAGGGUGCGAUCUGCAGCGGGGCUGGUGUACAAACUUGGGCAGCUCUCUGGGCCCAGAAGUGGGACUAGAGAUAGCCAAAGCCUUUGGGGGGGGGUCAUUUUAACUCUGGGGCAGUUGACCUCUUAUGACAAAACUAAUGUUUUAGCCAAAAAGAAAAAAAAAAAAGAAAAAGGAAAAGAAAAAAAAGACAGUCCAUAUUAACAGUUGUAGAUCUUGCAUAAAAACAAACCAAAAAAUGGCAAAAUGCAAACUACAUUCGUUUGGUUGAAAUAGCAUUGGAGGUUAUUUGGUGUCUUCUAAAACCCUCCAAAAUCCUGACCUAGAUUUCCGACAACUUUUUUUUUAAAUAGGUUUUAGCAAAAUUUUAAAAAUGGAGGGAAAAGAAACCUUUCUUCAAUCUAGUACUCAUCUUCCAGAUGAAAAUUUUGAGUCAGUAUGAGCUUAUUGAUAAGCAUUCAGUUCUGUCAAGGACACUUAAGGUUAAAAAUUAAAAAGCUGUGAAGGUACUCAGUAUAGCAUAUUUUAAAAAGGUUUUCUUGGUCCUUUUUUUUUCCUUUUUUACUGAAGUGGCUGGAGCAGAUUUUCAUAUAUCCAAAUUCAUACCUAGAAAUGUAU